rnacentral:tRNA from 1 species
GGAGAUAUGCCCGAAAUUUAAGGGCUGCUUUGAUAGAGUACGCCACAGGGGUUAAAACCCCCUUAUCUCCU